rnacentral:rRNA from 1 species
GACGAACGCUGGCGGCGUGCCUAAUACAUGCAAGUUGAGCGCUGAAGGUUGGUACUUGUACCGACUGGAUGAGCAGCGAACGGGUGAGUAACGCGUGGGGAAUCUGCCUUUUAGCGGGGGACAACAUUUGGAAACGAAUGCUAAUACCGCAUAAAAACUUUAAACACAAGUUUUAAGUUUGAAAGAUGCAAUUGCAUCACUCAAAGAUGAUCCCGCGUUGUAUUAGCUAGUUGGUGAGGUAAAGGCUCACCAAGGCGAUGAUACAUAGCCGACCUGAGAGGGUGAUCGGCCACCUUGGGACUGAGACACGGCCCAAACUCCUAAGGGAGGCAGCAGUAGGGAAUCUUGGGCAAUGGACGAAAGGCUGACCGAGCAACGCCGCGUGAGGGAAGAAGGUUUUCGGAUCGUAAAACUCUGUUGGUAGAGAAGAACGUUGGUGAGAGUGGAAAGCUCAUCAAGUGACGGUAACUACACAGAAAGCGACGGCUAACUACGUG